AUUGGUGUAAGUAGACAUUCGCGCACCGGCUAGUCCAGAAGGUGCAGCAAUUGAAAUCGCGUAUCGAGGAGGUCUUGUUCCCUCGAGUAUAGCUCUGUGCAGUCGUCCAUAGUCUUCUUGCCAUGUGCCACAAUAUCCUUGCCCCCGAACGUCCCGUGAAGCGUCAAAGGCUGAGCAACAGAGAAAAGUGCAGCACCACCAAAGCAAGAUAUGCCUGUGUGCCAUACUGUGUCACAUCAUAUGUUGCUUUUGGCACACGCUAUCGUGGGAUUUC
rnacentral:lncRNA from 1 species